rnacentral:rRNA from 1 species
GACGAACGCUGGCGGCGUGCUUAACACAUGCAAGUCGAACGGAAAGGCCCUGCUUUUGUGGGGUGCUCGAGUGGCGAACGGGUGAGUAACACGUGAGUAACCUGCCCUUGACUUUAGGAUAACUUCAGGAAACUGGGGCUAAUACCGGAUAGGAUCUCCUGCUGCAUGGUGGGGGUUGGAAAGUUUCGGCGGUUGGGGAUGGACUCGCGGCUUGUCAGCUUGUUGGUUGGGUAGUGGCUUACCAAGGCUUUGACGGGUAGCCGGCCUGAGAGGGUGACCGGACACGUUGGGACUGAGAUGCGGCCCAGCCUCGUACGGGAGGCAGCAGUGGGGAAUAUUGCACAAUGGGAGGAAGGCUGAUGCGACAACGCCGCGUGCGGGAUGACGGCCUUCGGGUUGUAAACCGCUUUCGCCUGUGACGAAGCGUGAGUGACGGUAAUGGGUAAAGAAGCACCGGCUAACUACGUG